rnacentral:miRNA from 1 species
UUGGCUUUGGCUGGGGCGGGU